GACGAACGCUGGCGGCGUGCCUAAUACAUGCAAGUCGAACGCAGUGGGGACGGGUGAGUAACACGUGGGUAACCUCCCAUCAGAGGGGAUAACACUUGGAAACAGGUGCUAAACCGAUACUGAUGGAUGGACCCGCGGUGCAUUAGCUAGUUGGUGAGGUAACGGCUCACCAAGGCCACGAUGCAUAGCCGGUCUGAGAGGAUGAUCGGCCACACGGGGACUGAGACACGGCCCAGACUCCUACGGGAGGCAGCAGUAGGGAAUAUUGGGCAAUGGGCGAAAGUCUGACCGAGCAACGCCGCGUGAGUGAAGAAGGUUUUCGGAUUGUAAAGCUCUUUUGUUAGAGAGGCGGUAUCUAAAGAAAAAGCCACGGCUAACUACGUGCCAGCAGCCGCGGUAAUUC
rnacentral:rRNA from 1 species